ACUGAACCUAGAACAUAGGUACAGAGCCACUUGUUAUCAGGAAGGUGCUCUCUCAGCACAACGGAAAAUAUCUCAAUGACUUGACAUGUUCUGGUUGUGAAUUCAGGCUGCAAGGGGUAACUGCCUCUAAAAUGAGUCUCUCUGGGGAGAGAGAGGAGGGUGGCCCUGCCACUAAAAUGAGUAUCUCUGGGGAACAAGACACCAAAUCUAAGAGCCCAAUCAAUCAGGAGAGACCAGCCUCCCCUGUACCCAGCUGUGUGUCCAUGAAGAGUGACCGGUCUAUGGAACCUCCUAUGAAGUUUAGAGAGGGAGACUUUUCUACUGAACAAACAAACCAACAGGCGAGAUCAGAGUCAGAGAUUCUCAGUGGUCAGUCUUCCAAGAGUCAUCAAACAGACCUGGCCUCCAUAUUCAGUGUAUGUGGUCCUGUUAUGUACAUUUGUUUUUGUUUACCUCAAGAAAAGUUGAUCUGCCAAUCAUUCAUUAAUGUGUUAAUGAGAAAGCAUUUAUUCUCUUGCUUAACUCAUUUACUUGAUUUAUUUCAGUUGCUUGAAGAGAAAAUUAUGACAUUUGUGAAGAACGAGCUGAAGAUGUUCAAGAGGAUUCUUAGUCCAGAACU